GAGAGUAAGUGCUCCCUACAUUGGAUCGAUACAGAGAAGAUUAGCAUGGCCCCUGCGAAAGGAUGACACCCAAAUCUGUGAAGCGCUCCACCUCUUU
rnacentral:snRNA from 1 species